rnacentral:tRNA from 3 species
UGCCGGCUGGUGCAAUGGUAGCACACCAGACUUUGGAUCUGGCUGUUCCUGGUUCGAGUCCAGGGCCGGCAGCUA